UGAUUAGUGUAAGUAGUUUUGAAAUUUGUUGGUGCUCUGAUUGAGCGUGCUAGAAACCCUAGGUUUUGCAUAUUCUGAUAAUGGCCUCCACUUCCGCUCCCCAACCCUCGCGAUCGCUUUCUCCUUCUCCCCAUGCUUCUUCAUCUUCUUCUUCCCAGCCCCAAGGUCUCGAAAACCUUCCUUCCCCCUCUGCCUCUCACGAUUCCCAAGCUACUCCGAGUCCUUC
rnacentral:lncRNA from 1 species